GGACAUAGACUUGCGUCAAAUCGAAACCGGUCUUGAAAACCGGAGUGCCCGCAAGGGUACCCAGGGUUCGAAUCCCUGUCUCUCCG
rnacentral:tRNA from 1 species